rnacentral:lncRNA from 1 species
AUGCCACCGGCGGCCACCGAUGUCACCACCAGCACUGGAGAUGAUGAUGAUGAUGAUGCCACCACCAGCACUGGAGAUGAUGAUGAUGAUGCCACCGCCAGCGCGGGGAGGUGCCGCCAGCUCUGGAGAUGUCACCACCAGCAGCCCUGGAGAUGCCACCGUCAAGGUGGGGAGAUGCCACCAGCACUGGAGAUACCACUACCACCCAACCCUGGAGGUGCCACCAAUGCCCUGGAGAUGCCACCAAUGCCCUGGAGAUGCCACUACCAGCCCUGGAGAUGUCACCACCAAGGUGAGGAGAUGCCACCACCAAUGGAAAUGCCACCAGUGCCCUGGAGGUACCACUGCCAGCCCUGGGGAUGCCACCACCAAGGUGGGGAGAUGCCACCACCACUGGAAAUGCCACCAGUGCCCUGGCGAUGUCACCACCACUGGAGAUACUACUACCAACCAGACCUGGGGAUGCCACCACCAAGGUGGGGAGAUGCCACCACUAGCAGCUUUGGAGGUGCCACCAAUGCCCUGGAGAUGCCACUACCAGCCCUGGAGAUGUCACCACCACUGGAGAUGUCACCACCAGCAGCCCUGGAGAUGCCAUCAGUCCUGGAGAUGCCACCAGCACUGGAGAUACCACUACCACCCAGCCCUGGAGGUGCCACCAGCCCUGGAGACGUCACCACCAAGGUGGGGAGAUGCCACUAUCAGCCCUGGAGAUGUCACCACCAAGGUGGGGAGAUGCCACUAUCAGCCCUGGAGAUGUCACCACCAGGGCAGGGAGAUGUCACCACCACUGGAGAUGCCACCACCACUGGAGAUACCGCUACCAACCACACCUGGAGAUGCCACCACCAGGGUGGGGAGAUGCCACCAUCAUCCCAGGUGCCACCAGUCCUGGAGGUGCCACCACGAGGGCAGGGAGAUGCCACCAGCCCUGGAGAUACCAAUGCCAGCACUGGACACGAUGCCACCAGGGCAGGGAGAUGCCACCACCGGUCCUGGAGAUGCCACCAGUGCAGUGAAAUGGCCCCAUCACAAGCCCUGGAGAUGCCACCACCAGCUCACGUCCCCCCCGUGUCAUUGUCCCCUUCCUCCUGGCGCUGCCCGGACCCCCCCUC